rnacentral:rRNA from 1 species
AUUGAACGCUGGCGGAAUGCUUUACACAUGCAAGUCGAACGGCAGCACGGGAGCUUGCUCCUGGUGGCGAGUGGCGAACGGGUGAGUAAUGCAUCGGAACGUGCCCAUGAGUGGGGGAUAACUAUCCGAAAGGAUGGCUAAUACCGCAUAAGCCCUGAGGGGGAAAGCGGGGGAUCGCAAGACCUCGCGCUGAUGGAGCGGCCGAUGUUGGAUUAGCUAGUUGGUGGGGUAAAGGCCUACCAAGGCGACGAUCCAUAGCUGGUCUGAGAGGAUGAUCAGCCACACUGGGACUGAGACACGGCCCAGACUCCUACGGGAGGCAGCAGUGGGGAAUUUUGGACAAUGGGGGCAACCCUGAUCCAGCCAUUCCGCGUGAGUGAAGAAGGCCUUCGGGUUGUAAAGCUCUUUCGGCAGGAACGAAACGGCGGCCCCUAAUACGGGUUGCUAAUGACGGUACCUGAAGAAGAAGCACCGGCUAACUACGUGCCAGCCGCCGCAGUAA